rnacentral:rRNA from 1 species
GACGAACGCUGGCGGCGUGCUUAACACAUGCAAGUCGAGCGGUAAGGCCCUUUCGGGGGUACACGAGCGGCGAACGGGUGAGUAACACGUGGGUGACCUGCCCUCAGCUCUGGGAUAAGCCUGGGAAACUGGGUCUAAUACCGGAUAUGACCCACUGACGCAUGUCGUGGGGUGGAAAGCCUUGUGCGGCUGAGGAUGGGCCCGCGGCCUAUCAGCUUGUUGGUGGGGUGAUGGCCUACCAAGGCGACGACGGGUAGCCGGCCUGAGAGGGCGACCGGCCACACUGGGACUGAGACACGGCCCAGACUCCUACGGGAGGCAGCAGUGGGGAAUCUUGCGCAAUGGGCGAAAGCCUGACGCAGCGAC